AGCUUUGCGCAGUGGCAGUAUCGUAGCCAAUGAGGUUUAUCCGAGGCGCGAUUAUUGCUAAUUGUUUCCUUUUUCAAACCAAAAGGUUGCUGGGACAUGACACGUCAU
rnacentral:snRNA from 1 species